CUUGUACUCCCUCCGUCCGAAAAUACUUGUCAUUGAAAUGGAUGUAUCUAGAUGUAUUUUAGUUCUAGGCACAUCCAUUUUGAUGACAAGUAAUUCUGGACGGAGGGAGUACUUG
rnacentral:pre_miRNA from 1 species